AGGGCACCACCAGGAGUGGAGCCUGCGGCUUAAUUUGACUCAACACGGGAAAACUUACCCGGCCCGGACACUGGAAGGAUUGACAGAUUGAGAGCUCUUUCUUGAUUCAGUGGGUGGUGGUGCAUGGCCGUUCUUAGUUGGUGGAGCGAUUUGUCUGGUUAAUUCCGAUAACGAACGAGACUCUAGCCUAUUAAAUAGAUUACCGUUCCUUUGUGACGGUAAGACUUCUUAAAGGGACAGGCGGCGACUCAGCCGCACGAAACAGAGCAAUAACAGGUCUGUGAUGCCCUUAGAUGUCCGGGGCCGCACGCGCGCUACACUGAAGUGAUCAGCGUGCAUUAAUAACCCUCUCUGGCAAGAGUGGGUAACCCAUUGAACCUUCUUCGUGAUUGGGAUAGGGUAUUGUAAUUCUUACCCUUGAACGAGGAAUUCCCAGUAAGCGCGAGUCAUAAGCUUGCGUUGAUUACGUCCCUGCCCUUUGUACACACCGCCCGUCGCUACUACCGAUUGAAUGAUUUA
rnacentral:rRNA from 1 species